rnacentral:rRNA from 1 species
CACGUAGGGGGCGAGCGUUGUCCGGAAUUAUUGGGCGUAAAGAGCUCGUAGGCGGCUCGGUAAGUCGGGUGUGAAAUUUCGAGGCUCAACCUCGAAACGCCACCCGAUACUGCUGUGGCUAGAGUCCGGUAGGGGAGCGUGGAAUUCCUGGUGUAGCGGUGAAAUGCGCAGAUAUCAGGAGGAACACCAGCGGCGAAGGCGGCGCUCUGGGCCGGUACUGACGCUGAGGAGCGAAAGCGUGGGGAUCAAACAGG